rnacentral:misc_RNA from 1 species
UGACUUGUAAAAGGAAAGCCUAUAGCCAGUUAUAGUUGCGUGGAUGUAAAUUACCAAAGUAACUGGAUACAAGUCUAGCAUGUCAAAGUCGGUUGUCUAGCCACAGCCAGCUGGAGUGAUGCCAAGUCGAUAUGCGAGUUCGGAGGCAGAGCUGUUGAGGCACUAGACUGAUGUCCUCCACUCUAAUUCCCUGAUCCUGUGAUACUAGCAGACAGUGGUCAGCCACAGCUGGUACUUCAAUUUGUUCUAUGAGAAAAGAUCUGUGAACUACAGGCAUCCAGCGUCUUUGGGCAAAAAAAUUACAGUCAAGUUUU